UACGUAGGUGACAAGCGUUGUCCGGAUUUACUGGGCGUAAAGAGCGCGCAGGCGGUCGAUCAAGUCGAGUGUGAAAGCCCCCCGGCUCAACUGGGGAGGGUCAUUCGAUACUGAUCGACUCGAAGGCAGGAGAGGGUAGUGGAAUUCCCGGUGUAGUGGUGAAAUGCGUAGAUAUCGGGAGGAACACCAGUGGCGAAGGCGACUACCUGGCCUGUUCUUGACGCUGAGGCGCGAAAGCUAAGGGGAGCAACGGGGAU
rnacentral:rRNA from 1 species